AUGUAAAGACAGAUAAGCGGUAUGAAAACCUUCCAGCUGUGUUUUCCUCUGCCGUUGUUGCUGCAGCCGUCUGUGUGACGGUGGGAGCGUGUCGUUCUGUAGGGAGGGUGUCGGCGGACGACUUGUCACUAUGUGCUGUAGCUCAGUGUGUUUCUCCACCGGUGUUUUUGAGGGCGUGCCACACAUUAGCCGCUAGGAUAAAGAAAAAGGAUGGCUUGAAUAGCAUUCAAGCUCUGGCACAGCACCACUCAGAGACAUUGAAGAUCAAACUCCAUGAAGUGUGUCUGGUUCUCAUUAAGGAGGUGAAAAACGUACGCUCAGCCGUGUCAUGCGCAGUUAUGAACACCUUAGCUGAGCACCUGCAGAAGGCCAUGGACCUGGAGGCACAGGGAACAGGCCAAGCCUUGCUGCUGAAACUGUCAGCUCUACAAACACCUUUAUUCAGCAGUAGGUCAAUCUUGCACUAGAUGCCAUGGUGCAAAGCUGCAGUCAUGGUCGGAUCAUGAGCGCUCUGCUGAACACAGGGCUGGGCCACCAUUGGGUUGCAGCAAGAGGGUGCAUGGGACAACACCUGCACCUGUUGGCUGACAACCUUGGAGCGGCUCACGUCUUGACAGCAGGAAGGAGCUUCACUGAGCGCUUCCUUACUGCUGUCUUGUAAAUGUCGGUGGAUGCUGCACCAGAAGUGAGGCACCACGGACAAAUGAUCUUCCAAGAACUGGUCCUCCACAAGGACUUUCUGAACCUAUGGACAAAGAUUGUUCCAGAAAAAGAAAGACGUUCUCUGGACAGUAUAUUCCAUCCAUCCAUCGUCAACCACUUAUCCUGUGUACAGGGUCGCAAGGGCCGUCCAUGCUCUGGCAGGACGUGAGCCACAAGGUGCACCACAAGCUUUAAGCUCAGCAGCCCUACCUGCUUCUUAGGCUUAUAGUCCACAAUCUAACCCAGGGUCUAUCCGGGUACCAGAGCUCUCCAUGUCUGCUCUGUGAGAGUGUGGAAUUUAAUCUGAUAGUUCCCACACCUCCUAUUUACAGUCUCUGGGCCAGAGACUUAAUGAUGUCUUAUGAUUGGUUUAAAGAAAACCCAAACAGUUACGGCAAAUGACCUCACUAGUGAGGGCAGCAAGUGGAGUUAAGGGAAGCUUUAUUAAUGCCAAUCACAGCAGUUCCUCUCAUAAGCAACAGCUAGUUUAACUUCAGGAGAUUACUGUUCUUCCAAACAAAAAUAUGCAGUUCCUUAAAUGUUAGUAGCAUCCCAAAUAUAAACAUAAAUCAUCCCACCUUGGUUAUACAUCCCAAACAUGCUUUUUCAGGAUAGAUUUGAAUUUCUGUUUCAGAAGAUGCUGAAAAGCCUGUCAGUGUAUGCAGUGUGCACAGUUUACGCUAUAUUUGGAAUAUUUUCACAGCUUUACUUUGCCGCCAGACCGCACUUUCCGACUGGGGAACUAAACAUAAGCUCUCUUUAAAGCCAACCUCCUGACAAAAACAGUAAUUUUACCUCACAGAACACAGGGGUUGCUGGUCUACCGCUGCCUCGAUCGGUUAGUUAACACGUUAGUUCGGAUCUGAAAUAUCUGCAUUGAACUAUCUGGUUCAGUACAAUUGCCUAAUUGGUGUGUUUAAAGUGAGUAAACACCAACUGACCAACACAAAAUGAAAAAGGGGCAGCCACUAUCUCGGAAAAAAGUAAGUAUUUGUUUAAAUAUUAAUUCAAAAAGCCCAAAAUAUGUUCUCAGUGUGUACAUUUUCAUCUAUAAAUAUCAUAGAAUUGUGGGAAAUGCAUGUGUUUUUAUUCUGGAAGAGGGCUUGGAUUCUUUGGCCUAACGAAAGAGAAGAACCAAAAGAUACUUCUAAAGAGGGAAAGGAUUUGAACUGAUGUAGGAGGGAACAUGAGAGUAUGCUCUGUAGGUAAGUUUAAAUCCUCAGUUUUGCAAUUCAAAGUAAGACUCACCUCCAGAUUUAGUUCCGUAACAAACCAGAUAGAUUAAAAAAUGUUUUUAUGUUUGCAAACAUUUAAAUAUGCUUUCACUGGGUGGUAAAUAGUGUGAUUGAAUAAGGUGGUGUUCUUGUAGUAAAUCAGGCACAAGGAGCUAAUAUAGGCGCAGUGGUUGAUGACUGCCAGCCUGAGUGAAAUGUCUUAAAAACUGUUGAAUAGAUUGACAUGAAAUUUGGUACAGACAUUCAGGUCUACUUCAGUAACUUUGGUGACCCCUUAACUUUCCCCCUAGCACCAGCAUCAGGUCAAAAUCUUAAUUAGCCCAAUACUUUGGUUUAUGAUCAAAUACGUGCAAAAUGUACUAAAAACUAAAACGGUAAAACUAACAUUGUACUUGCUUAACAUUGGAAAGUUAUCAUUGUCAUUGUGAGCAUGUUAGCAAGCAGACAUUACCGUUUUGCUCAGAGCGCAGUUGAAGAUUCUUUGUCUUGUUAGAUUUGUGCAUAUAUUGUUGGAUAAUAAAACCUUUGUCCUAACAGUUACUCGAUAAUUACCCAUUGAAUAAUAAAACUUGUGCUACACAAACAA